rnacentral:rRNA from 1 species
GAGUCGAGUUGUUUGGGAAUGCAGCUCAAAAUGGGUGGUAAAUUUCAUCUAAAGCUAAAUACUGGCUCAAGACCGAUAGCGCACAAGUAGAGUGAUCGAAAGAUGAAAAGCACUUUGGAAAGAGAGUCAAACAGUACGUGAAAUUGUUGAAAGGGAAGCGCUGGCAACCAGACCUGCCCGUAGGUGAUCAACCGCUGUUCUCAGCGGUGCACUCGCUCUGCGAUCAGGCCAGCAUCGGUUCGGGCGGCCGGAUAAAGGCUCGGGAAAUGUAGCUCCUCUCGGGGAGUGUUAUAGACUCCGGUGCAAUGCGGCCAGCCUGGACCGAGGACCGCGCUUCGGCUAGGAUGCUGGCGUAAUGGUUGUCAGCGACCCGUCUUGAAACACGGACCAAGGAGUCUAACAUCUAUGCGAGUGUUUGGGUGUUAAACCCAUGCGCGGAAUGAAAGUGAACGGAGGUGAGAACCCUUAAGGGCGCAUCAUCGACCGAUCCAGAUGUCCUCGGAUGGAUUUGAGUAUGAGCAUAGCUGUUGGGACCCGAAAGGU